GACGAACGCUGGCGGCGUGCUUAACACAUGCAAGUCGAACGGAAAGGCCCUGCUUUUGUGGGGUGCUCGAGUGGCGAACGGGUGAGUAACACGUGAGUAACCUGCCCUUGACUUUGGGAUAACUUCAGGAAACUGGGGCUAAUACCGGAUAGGAGCUCCUGCUGCAUGGUGGGGGUUGGAAAGUUUCGGCGGUUGGGGAUGGACUCGCGGCUUAUCAGCUUGUUGGUGGGGUAGUGGUUUACCAAGGCUUUGACGGGUAGCCGGCCUGAGGGGGUGACCGGCUACAUUGGGACUGAGAUACGGCCCAGACUCCUACGGGAGGCAGCAGUGGGGAAUAUUGCACAAUGGGCGGAAGCCUGAUGCAGCAACGCCGCGUGCGGGAUGACGGCCUUCGGGUUGUAAACCGCUUUCGCCUGUGACGAAGCGUGAGUGACGGUAAUGGGUAAAGAAGCACCGGCUAACUACGUG
rnacentral:rRNA from 1 species